rnacentral:rRNA from 1 species
GACGAACGCUGGCGGCGUGCCUAAUACAUGCAAGUAGAACGCUGAAGGAGGAGCUUGCUUCUCUGGAUGAGUUGCGAACGGGUGAGUAACGCGUAGGUAACCUGCCUGGUAGCGGGGGAUAACUAUUGGAAACGAUAGCUAAUACCGCAUAAUAGUAGAUGUUGCAUGACAUUUACUUAAAAGGUGCAAUUGCAUCACUACCAGAUGGACCUGCGUUGUAUUAGCUAGUUGGUGGGGUAACGGCUCACCAAGGCGACGAUACAUAGCCGACCUGAGAGGGUGAUCGGCCACACUGGGACUGAGACACGGCCCAGACUCCUACGGGAGGCAGCAGUAGGGAAUCUUCGGCAAUGGACGAAAGUCUGACCGAGCAACGCCGCGUGAGUGAAGAAGGGUUUCGGAUCGUAAAGCUCUGUUGUAAGAGAAGAACGAGUGUGAGAGUGGAAAGUUCACACUGUGACGGUAGCUUACCAGAAAGGGACGGCUAACUACGUG